CUGGGUGGGUGGUGGGUGGGUAGCAGGGGUGGGGGGGGACCGGGGUUGGGUCCCCCCCAUUUUGGCCCCGAGCCCCCGCAGUGCCCUGGGGGAGGUGGGGGGACCCCCGGUCGGUAACGCCGUGUGGGCCGGGUAGGCCGUGGGCUGAGCCGGAUUGGGUUCCCUAAAAAAAAAAAUACUUAAAAAAAAAAAAAGGCAAUAAUAAACUGCUUACAGUCGCAGAGCAGGUCCGGACCAGUCUGCCUCAUAACCACCUCGCAGGUCGGAGCUUGCGAGGUAAUUGUGGGACUUUGGUUUUCCCAUUAAUUAGGAGCUGGAUUAAGUCAAAGAUGCUUAGCGCGGAGUGCCUGGAUUCAGCAGGGCGAGCUGCAGGGCGCUGACUGGGGGAGGCACGGCAUUAAGGCGCCCAGGCAGGGCAAAUACAGCACCCAAAUCGCUGUUUCAUCCCUGGCCAUCGUCUGAGCGCUUCAGCAGAUGGGUUUGUGCCCUGGCAGCAGGGUACGGCGGUAAGGUAGCCCACUGCAGUGUGGUGGUCCAUGCCCACGAUCACUGGGAUGUCCUUGCAAACUCAUUUCAAGGCCGUAGCUGGUUUGGGCUUUAUUCUUAAACAGAGACGGAUAUCAUAGCCACGAAUCUGCAAUCUGGACUUAAAAUGAUGUGGUAUUAACUUUCUUCUGCAGACUUACAGAAAUCAUCUUGUUGAUCGAUGUUGAAUGUUUAGCAACCAGGUGAAAAUUCUUACCUAUGAAGCUUAAUGUGACUUGUAAGCCUUCAGUUUUAAUGUAUGUUUUUAUCCACUUAAACAUUUCACAGCAGAAAUCAAGGAAAACAAAGCUGCCAGUGAAGACUGAAUAAGAUUAGUGUAGCUUUACUGGCCUUUGAAAUGUAAGAUUACAGUCCUGCUGUCACUGGCUCCAGUGUGUUGGCUAUUUCUCAAGGGUUUUUAUAUAAUUGUAUAGAUUUCUUGCAUAUGUAUGUAACUAGAAUGCUACAAGUGAGCACGUAUGCUUUUUUGAAUAAUAUUUAAACAAGUGGCCAGCUAGGCCUCUUUGCCUUGAUAUGAACGUGUAGUUCAGUUACUGCUGUGGCUGGUUAACUUCCAUUUGCACAAAGAAGUACCAAACUGAAAAACAAGAGAGAUUUUUUUAUUAUUAUUAUUUUUGCAAUGAAGUUGUGUAGGAUUGCCAUCAUCCCUGAAGUUUUGUAGUUUAAAAAUUCCAGACAUCCACUGUAGUUUGAAGUCUCCUUACUCAAUGUUUUUGUUCUUAGGAAUCCUUGUUACUUUUGUAUACGUUUCAAUCUAUUAAAAAAAAAAAAAAAGCCUUUAUAUACUUGAAAAGUGCUGAAAACGUAUCAGAUCAGUGACUCAUGUUUGAACUUGGGUUAAAAUGUGUGACCUAGGAAUAAACUGGACCCCACGUGCAUGUUUUGGUUAGUACCCCUGCCCUGCUGUGUCUGUAACUGCUGUUAACUAAUUUGGCAGCAGUGGCUGGGUGUGGUACUUGAGAUAAGCAGCUUGUUCUCAGUGAGGAGGGACUGUAAAGCUUUCUUUAAAUACCAAACUUGGAGUAAGUUUAGAAUCUCUGGUUUAAUCAGUUCACAAGCAAUUGAACCUAGUACCACUUGAUAUAUGUAUGUACACAAAUAUGUACACACAUUCCACUUUAUAAAACUUGAAGAAAAACAUCUGCAAAGCAAAAUUUUGCAAAGGGGUCACUUGGACCAAGUAGCCCUAGUUCCCUUGCUUUAUACUUGCGUGCACCAGUUACCCUUAGAGAAAGAAGCUCCAUAGGUGAGCCAGCUAAAGAGCCUUCUUAGCUAACAGGCAGUCUUUAUCUCUUUUCCUAGCACAAGCAGGGUGAAGAAGCAUCCUCAUGGGGAAAUAGUUUGUUUUUAAAGCCUGUCUGCAGUGCUUCCUUGCUUGACACUACCAGAACGUCAUGGAGCUUGAGAGAUAGAGGAAGGAGGAAGAAGCCCUCAGUGCCCAAAACCACCACCUGAAUGUAUGCUAAUAGAUUUAUCCCCAUACUUGUAUUUAUCUGCUGUGCCCAAUAUGUAAUCCCGAGCUUUAAAUUAGAGACCCUGUGGUUUCACAGUAGUCUCCUCUUCCCUCGUUGGGCUGCAGCUGAGACCCACCUGACCCUUUUCAGUGUAAGCUGGUGGGUGGUUGGGUGCUUGAGUCCUGGACAUGGCCUGUUCCUGCCCAUGGCAGCGAGAAAGAAAAAAUCUUUUAGAUGUGGGCACAGGGUUUAAGGAACUUUUCACGUGGACAAAGGCAGGGACCAUCAGCUCUGCAUCCUGUAGUAGAGUAAUUAUUAUGUUACUCUGCUUUUUUUUUUUUUUUUCCCCCAGUCGUCUUAAUUUUUUCAGGCUUUUUAAGUCCUUAACUACCAGUCCCUGACAUAGGUCACUAACUUUUUACCUCCACCCCCUCUCAGGUCAGCAUAAAGCAUCUGUAUUUAAAAAACAACCCCUCCAAAGCCAACAAACUCAUUUCUAUUUGACCAAGAAACAGAAAAGAAAUCAGAAGAACAUUCUGUUACCUGAGAUUUCUUAAGGAUGCUGGGUUCUGCAGCCACGAUAUCAAAGCUGAAAGUGUGAAGUUCCCUAUCUCAAGUCGUGGAGCAUCAGUCUGUGCGAUUACAUCAGGAUUGCAUUGCUGCAUAUAAGUGAAUUUUGUGUCUCAUCUGAAGUAAUUCAAGCAUGCUGGAUGCUAUUCUGAGAUCCUCGAGAUGUCCACCUGUCUCUGGCAAGAGUUAAAAUGAAGUGCUGGGCUGGAUUGUUUGUGGACCAAGAAGGAAAGAGAGCAUGGAACAAUGAAGAUGCUGUAAAGCUUUGUGAUGGUGUUUUGGAUCUUAAGGACAGAUGGAAUCUCUUAAAUCCAUCGAGUUUGCAACAAUGACGUUAAAAUAGAGUCCAGGAGGGAUGUGUGCCUCCUUACAGGCUUAAAUUUAAUGCUUGGGCUUGUCAGUUGUGAUAGUAGCCUGUGAUUUACCUCCACUUCAGCAGAUACUGCUUUGUUCAUAAGCUGAAAGACAGCUAAUCUCUCAUUAUUUCUGUGAAGACUUCAAUGGCUGGUUGGAUGUAAUCCUGAAAUAAUUUAUUGAUGUCCAAGGCUACAGAGAAUUACAAAUUAAUAUUCGAAAAAAGUUAACUAUGAACUACUAAAUAUGCCUGUUCCGUAUUUGUUUACCUGAAGAACCCUGAACUUGAUGAAAUAAAACCUGUUACAUGCCAAAUAACCGUGGUAGUAGGCUUGUGAGAGUUUGUUAUGUGGAAUUGUUUUCAUUCCAAGGAUUCUUAAACCGAGAAGGAUCCUGAGCUUUUUCUCCCUGGUUUGUUGUGGGCUUGGGAGCUGAAAUUGGCUCUUCCACAGGAACACAAGGCUUCUGUGUUCUCUGUUGUGUUACUCUGUUUUAAGUGACUAAAAACCCCCUUGUACAUUCAUACUUUGGCUUUUGGUCAACAAAACUAUCUGGAGCCCUUGAAAGCAGAAGCUCUUAAGGUUCAGUUCAUCUAUUUUCAAGGUGUUCUUUUGUUGGACCUCAAAAAAGGAGCAUUUCCCAUCCUGGUCUCUCAUAGGAUCUGCUAUGUAUGCCCUCACCUUUUCUUUUUUAAAUGCUGGGAGUCCUCUGUUAAUUAUGCCAAGUAUAUACCAAGUGUUAAGCUAGUUGGGGCUAAAUAUCUUGAUCUUUUCAUUUCCAUAAUUUUUCCUCUUUAACAGGACUCUUAUUUUUACCCAUCUGUGAUGAUUUAUGGUGGUUUUGCGUUGCUGAUAUGCUUUACGUAGAGCUAUGACUGAUGUACUGUUACACAGAAUUUGGGGAAAGUAAACAUAUUUGUCUGAUGUUCAUACUAAUUGUUAACUUCCAUGUUUUUUUUUUUCCCCUUUAAUUCAUUUUUUCCUUGAGGUUGUGGCUGUUAGAGACUGUAUUUGCCAUCUGUUUUAGGAUCCCCCUGUUUGAUUUUUCACCUGAGAUUUCGUGCUCUCUUGCAG